AGCAAAUAAAUUAUAAAGCUUUUAGCAUGUUCAUGCAUCAUGAAUGCCAUGUGAUGAAUUAGGUUGUUUGCAUUAGAAUUCACGAAUAUGUUGCAUUGCAUUUAUGAUGUUGUUGUGGAUUGGUUAUUGGAUGAUCCUUUAGUCCUCAUAUGUUAUGAUGAUGUUACGGCAUGAUAUGGUAUGGAAGUCCAGGUUGUACCCAUUCUACGUCCCUGGCACUAUGUAAGAGAAAGUCCAGGUUGUACCCAUUCUACGUCCCUGGC
rnacentral:lncRNA from 1 species